rnacentral:rRNA from 1 species
GAUGAACGCUGGCGGCGUGCCUAAUACAUGCAAGUCGAGCGAACAGAUGAGGAGCUUGCUCCUCUGACGUUAGCGGCGGACGGGUGAGUAACACGUGGAUAACCUACCUAUAAGACUGGGAUAACUUCGGGAAACCGGAGCUAAUACCGGAUAAUAUAUUGAACCGCAUGGUUCAAUAGUGAAAGACGGUUUUGCUGUCACUUAUAGAUGGAUCCGCGCCGCAUUAGCUAGUUGGUAAGGUAACGGCUUACCAAGGCAACGAUGCGUAGCCGACCUGAGAGGGGGAUCGGCCACAUUGGAACUGAGACACGGUCCAGACCCCUACGGGAGGAAGCAGUAGGGAAUCUUCCGCAAUGGGCGAAAGCCGGAGGGAGAAACGCCGGGUGGGGGAGGAAGGCUUUGGGAUCGAAAAACUCUUUUAUUAGGGAAAAAAAAAUGUUAAAGUAACUAUGCACGUUUUGACGGUACCAAAUCAGAAAGCCACGGCUAACUACGU